AUUUAUAUAAUUCAGUUAGAAUAUUGCAUUGAAGCUGCAAAAGCGAGUGUCAACUCUGUAAAUA
rnacentral:tRNA from 1 species